CACAGGAUCGAAUGUCACAUCUUUACUAUAUAAUAUGAGUUCUAUACAAAAUAAACAAUUACAUUAUAAGGAGACAACGGUCCAGCAACCCAAAGAUGACUGGGAGACGACGACCUAGACCUCUCACGAACACUUCGCAGCAUCCUCCACGCGCCUCAUCAUGUGGUACCUGUUCUUGACCUGUGGGGGGUGUGAGACAGCAAGAGUGAGCUCACAUACGUUCAUCGCUCAACAAGUUGUGGGGAAUAAUGUGCAUGAACUCGCCAAAGAUGGGAGCUCACGUGAAGUGUAAGGCUUACCAAAGAGGAUGGUUAGAGCUGAGCAUUGCUUUUAAAGUUGGUCAAAAUUUUAUUAGCAAUUACUAAGUAUAAGUAGAUACCAGCCCAAUUAAGUAGUAGAACAAAAGUAACAACCUCACCUGCGAUGCAAUGCAUAUGACAAAUUGAGUUUAGGUUCCAUAAUUUAAUCAUGUGAGUGUUCGAGCUGCUCAUGACCGUGAGCAUGGCUAGUAUACCAGUUUUACACUGUGCAGAGGUUGCACAUCUUUACCCACAAGUCAUGUUACCCAUCUGCCAAGAGACGACCAAUCCCAUAUACCUCUACCGAGGAGGCGAGGCAGGGUAACACUACGAGGCCUUUACAAAGUUCCACUAGCUUCAGAAAACCCGCUACAGUUUAUAGGAAGCUCCAAUGCAGGAAUCCCUCGCAUGACCGCCAUCGCAGCAAAAUCAUCCCAAGGGCCUCCCUACACUGACCACUCACCUACUGCCCUUGCCCCUUUCGGGUAAGGUAGUCAUCCACUAGCUUUCCUAAUUAAUCAGCCAAGGGCGUCCCAUUAAACCCUUGUGGUAGCACUGUUUUCCCGGGUGGUUCUCCAUGUUCCAAUUAACAUAAUGAUCUUGUCAUGAACAGUAAUUAACAAACUGAUAAUAAAAGUAUAAUCAUGAAUAAAAUGUAUCUCUAUACCCAAAACCACAUAAAGCAAUAGUAGGUACUACCCAAAAAUUCAGUGGUGAAUAAGGUAUAAAGAUAGUCAAACUAGGGUAACCUAUUGGGUCCCAUCAAAAUUAACCUAUGCAGAUCAUUAUGAUUAAUCAGAACAUGAUUGGGUAAAAAGAAGUGAUCAAGGGCACAACUUGCCUGGGACUUGAGAUUCCAGGUACCAGAAUGAUCUUCAGGUGACACGUGUUCUCACUGCUAAACGUAGCAAUACAGACAAACAUGUAUAGGCAAAAUUAACAUCACACCAAACAUAAGAACAAACUGAAUAAUAAUGAUCUACGCGAAGCUACGAGAUCGUGGGAUCAAGAACCACUAAAUUCGGAGCUACGGUUAUUAAGUUAUGAAUUUCCGAAAUUGUUUAGUGCUUAGAAUAGAUUAAUCCAAAUGAACAAUUUUAAUUCAAGUUUCAUGGCUAAACAGUGUUACUGGUUGAUAGAAAAUAUUAAUACAAAAUUAUAGGAACUGGAAUGGACUAAAAAGGAGCUAAAAUGAAUUUUCCAGGAAUUAAACAAGUUUUAGAUUUAAUUUUAUACUAGAAAAGUAUUUUCUAUAUUCAUUUAUUCAAUUCCUUCAAGUUCUGGCCUGAUCGCACUAUUUCUGAGAAGUGCAGGGUCAAUUCUGUAAAAAUUAGGACCUUUCUGUAAUUACUUUAUAACUAGGUUGGAUGGCGGGUUCAUUUCGCAGAUUUCCAGGGACUCUUUUAUAAGCUUGCCUCGACCGAACGGGUACGUUCUAUUCUAAGCCAUUCGAUCAAAAUCUGGAGGUCCAGAUCAGAUCGCGCGAAGGGGUAUGCGCGCCCUAAUCCUCACCGUCCAAAGCAAUCGGACGGUUCCGAGUUCGUCUUCCCACACACCGAUCAGAGCAACAGCGCAGGGGCCCCAAUGCGGCGAUGCGUUCGUCGGAGAGCAGCCCAUGUCGCAACAUGUCCAAAUCCGAGGUCCCUAACACACCAAGGAGGGUAUAAGGAUGACAGGUAAAGGGGAUUCUCACCGGUUCAUGAAAGGGGGGGUCGACCAGUCCGGUCAUCACGUGGGGCGGACAGCAGCGUUUCGGCGAGGAAUUCAUCCUCCCCGAUCGACCCGCAUCAACCAACCGAGCUCCGCAUGAUCCCCACAGCACUGUGAAGCUUCUAUUCCCGCGCCCGACGGUUGGUGUGAUCGACGAUGUGCGGCUGCUCCUUGCUCUCAGCAUCUCUGAUGACAUGCGGCUAUUGGCUAGGGUGGCUACG
rnacentral:lncRNA from 1 species